UAUCAAGCAAUGCUUGCUUUCCUGUCUACCUGAGGUUGGCAGCCAGAUUCUCAUGUUGGUGUGCUUCUCAUGGACCACAGGACCUAGGCUUAUGAUCCAAAUACCUGAGGGCUGCCAACAGAAGCCUCCUCCGCCUUUGCCUUCAUCCUCAUCCUGACAAAGCCACGUGGAGAUGAGCAGAGAUGGACACGGUGAAGGUGGCUGACAGGCCCCGUGCUGCUGGUCUGUCAUGUGCCAAAUGAUCUGGCCAUUCCUGCCUCUCUCAGUUGUCCUGGAGACCAACUAGAAUGAUGGCUGUGCCAGCUGACCAAGUUCGGACGAGCCAUUUGGAGGAUCCAGCAUCAGUUCCUCAGUGAUCUUUGCGGUGGCUUCAGCCCUGUCCACUGUCCAUGUUGGGGUGAAUGGCAGCCCGUAGUGAUAUUUCGUUUGUGAU